AAAUUAGCAUCAUUUAAUUUUGAGAUGUAUUCAAGAGCUUUCAAUAUUCCUAUUAGUUCAGUUGUAUAACCGAUAAAAGUUUUCAAGACUUUAUCGAUGGACGGUAUCAUAACAACAGCAGCGCCUGCUACAUUAAACGUCUUUGAACCAUCUGUGUAAAUAGCUAUAUAAUUUUUAUAGGUUAUGAUGUUAAUUUCAUAAUAAAAACAUUGUUUUUAAGUAUGUAGUCAUUCGCGUAGUGGAGUGGACCUCGUUGGUGUGAGAUCUGUGGUUGAAGAAUCAAAGUGUGUUUUAACCUGUAUCAACGUGCAAUUUUUCGUAACUAACACUUUAACUUGUAAUUAUGUAAAACUAACCUGGUAAAGUGAGACAGUGAAUAACCAAACCUUUCAGAUGUAAAAAUACAACAAGAAUGAACUUCAACCACAGAAGAAAAAGUAAUUGUUAAAACACAGUGAACAUCAAGGCUAAAUGACAAAGUCAUAGCCUUAAAGAAGAAGAAGAAAAAAAAAAAUUUCGCCUGACGACUUGGCAGGCCAUGAAGGUGAUUUCAAUGUUCAAGAUCAUGUAAGAAGAGAAGAGAACUAUAUUCUUGGCAAAAACAACAUAACGAGAUGGGAUACCCAUAUGAAGACUGAAAAUUACGAGGCAAGAGUACGGCGACACAACAUUUUAUGAGGUGAGAGACUUGUUGUACCAAGAGGUGAAGGUGCCACUACAAAAACUUCACCUAAGGACAAUAUAAUGAGUAAAAAGUGUGAACGAACAAUUGUUUACCGCAGCAAUUUGUGUUUUUUUAUUUUAGAUUUUAUUGUAUAUUCAAUUAUUAAGGUUAAUUAUUAGGUUUUUAUAUUUGUUAAAAAGUGUAUUUUUAUGUUUAGUCUACUUUCUUUUUAAAUUAUAUAUUUUGUUUUGUAGAAUUUUUUAUUUAAAGAUACACGUUAAAAUUAUUACUUAUAUAUUAGAUACUGUUAUUAUUACUUAUAAUUUAUUUUUAAAAGUUAUCUCAUUAGAUCUUAAUUUUGUUUAAGGUAGUUUGCCCUCAUGAUGUGUACAUGUAUUUUAAUGAAAUGUCUUACAAAUAUCAAUCAAGUAUUUUGAUAUUCAAUCAUGUACUAUAACCUCCUCAUUUAUACUAACUUUUAUUUAAACAAUUUUGUUUUUCAGUAUAUACAAAUAUUAAAUGAUAUUUUUUUAAAGUUGAACACA